rnacentral:ribozyme from 1 species
ACUCACCACCUCAGAUACAACCACGCACUGUACCCUACAC